GGAAAGAGAGGAAGAGUGGUACUGGGAAGAGAAGAAGAGUGGUACUGGAAAGAGAGGAAGAGUGGUACUGGAAAGAGUGGUACUGGUAAGAGAGGAAGAGUGGUACUGGGAAGAGAAGAAGAGUGGUACUGGAAAGAGUGGUACUGGUAAGAGAGGAAGAGUGGUACUGGGAAGAGAGGAAGAGUGGUACUGGAAAGAGAAGAAGAGUGGUACUGGGAAGAGAGGAAGAGUGGUACUGGAAAGAGAAGAAGAGUGGUACUGGGAAGAGAAGAAGAGUGGUACUGGGAAGAGAAGAAGAGUGGUACUGGAAAGAGAAGAAGAGUGGUACUGGAAAGAGUGGUACUGGGAAGAGAAGAAGAGUGGUACUGGGAAGAGAGGAAGAGUGGUACUGGAAAGAGUGGUACUGGGAAGAGAAGAAGAGUGGUACUGGAAAGAGAAGAAGAGUGGUACUGGGAAGAGAAGAAGAGUGGUACUGGGAAGAGAAGAAGAGUGGUACUGGAAAGAGUGGAAGAGUGGUACUGGGAAGAGAAGAAGAGUGGUACUGGGAAGAGAAGAAGAGUGGUACUGGGAAGAGAAGAAGAGUGGUACUGGGAAGAGAGGAAGAGUGGUACUGGAAAGAGAGGAAGAGUGGUACUGGGAAGAGAGGAAGAGUGGUACUGGAAAGAGAGGAAGAGUGGUACUGGAAAGAGGAAGAGUGGUACUGGAAAGAGAGGAAGAGUGGUACUGGAAAGAGAGGAAGAGUGGUACUGGGAAGAGAGGAAGAGUGGUACUGGGAAGAGUGGUACUGGGAAGAGAAGAAGAGUGGUACUGGAAAGAGAGGAAGAGUGGUACUGGGAAGAGAAGAAGAGUGGUACUGGAAAGAGAGGAAGAGUGGUACUGGGAAGAGAAGAAGAGUGGUACUGGGAAGAGAGGAAGAGUGGUACUGGAAAGAGAGGAAGAGUGGUACUGGGAAGAGAAGAAGAGUGGUACUGGAAAGAGAAGAAGAGUGGUACUGGAAAGAGAGGAAGAGUGGUACUGGGAAGAGAAGAAGAGUGGUACUGGAAAGAGUGGAAGAGUGGUACUGGAAAGAGAAG
ensembl:lncRNA